AGUGAGUGAGGGUCCAGUGUUUCACA
rnacentral:miRNA from 1 species